rnacentral:rRNA from 1 species
AUUGAACGCUGGCGGCAGGCCUAACACAUGCAAGUCGAGCGGAGCGGCGGACGGGUGGGUAAUGCCUAGGGAUCUACCUGGUGGUGGGGGAUAACGUACGGGAACGGGAGCUAAUACCACAUAAUAUCAGAUGAGCCUAGGUCGGAUUAGCUAGUUGGUGGGGUAACGGCCUACCAAGGCGACGAUCCGUAACUGGUCUGAGAGGAUGAUCAGUCACACUGGAACUGAGACACGGCCCAGACUCCUACGGGAGGCAGCAGUGGGGAAUAUUGGACAAUGGGCGAAAGCCUGAUCCAGCCAUGCCGCGUGUGUGAAGAAGGUCUUCGGAUUGUAAAGCACUGUAAGUUGGGAGGCGUUACCAACAGAAUAAGCACCGGCUAACUUCGUGCCAGCAGCCGCGGUAAUUC